UUAAAUAAGAAAACUUAUCCCUCAAAAGCA
rnacentral:piRNA from 1 species